CAGGAACCGCAUGGAUAGAGUAGGGUAUGGGCAAGCUCCAGAAAGUCAGUGUGCAGCUCCCAAAAGAGAGGGAUAUGGGGCAGGCCACAAAAUAGUAACACUCUAGUCCCAUGGCCUGCAAGUGGAAGAGUCUGGAUUUAUUCCCAGAUGAGGAAAUGAUGACCACGAGGGGAAAGUCAGCUGUUAAUGGAGAGCUGGACCACCACGCAAGUCUCCUCAUUCCUUACCCAGUGCCCAGGCCCUUCUUCAUUCUGUCUUUUCUGGAAUGCACUACAAUACAGUGUUGAAUACUGUAUUGAACAUGGUGUUGAAUACUGUAUUGAAUACAGUGUUGAGUGUUGAAUACAGUAUUAUGUUGUACUAAACAGAAUUUUGGUACAAAUUUUUAUUUGUAAUGAUCCAAGCACUUCUCUUUUUAGUGAGUAGGAACAAAUUUUCUAAAUUCUUAACUUUCUCAUAGAAUAUAUCCUACCUCCUGGCUCUACCUAAAAUCCUGCUGGCCUCUG
rnacentral:lncRNA from 1 species